GCAGUAGCUUGCUGAUGCUCCCAGCUGAAUAAAGCCCUUCCUUCUACAACUUGGUGUCUGAGAGGUUUUGUCUGCAGCUCGUCCCGCUACAGUUCUUGGUUCCCUGACCGGGAAGCGAGGUAACUGAUGGACAGCUGAGGCAGCCUGUUAGGCGGCUUAGGCCUGCUCUGUGGAGCAUCCCUGCGGAGGACUCUGGCCAGCCUGAGUGACGCGAACCAGAGUGCUCCCAGGUAGGCAGUUUUCCUGGUAGAACACCUCAUCAGAGCAGUGCGUAGCAGGCCCCCACAGAGGAUUAACACAGUAGCUGAACACCGGGAAGGAACUGGCACUUGGAGUCCGGACAUCUGAAACUUGUUUAUUCUAGUGGGCCUAACCUCUGAGACCAUCCUUAAACAUCUGUAGACUGGGAGCUGUACGUGGAUGGGAGCAGCUUUGCUAACCCCUGCAAAGUGACUCUGAAAAAGACAAGCCCUGCUCCAGUCACACCCUGAAGCUGACUGAUCCACGCACGGCUGAAGCAUGAGGAAACUCAUCAUGGGAUUCAUUUUCCUUAAAAUUUGGACUUGUACUGUAAGGACUUCAACUGACCUUCCUAAGACUGAGGGCUGUUCCUUCCUAAGACAUCAAGUCUCUGAGGUAGGACAAAAGAUUGCUACAGUCCUAUUAUUUUAUAGUUAUUAUAAGUGUACCAGGACUCUAAAAGAAACUUGUUUGUAUAAUGAUAUUCUAUCCAAGGUAUGUAGCCCAGGAAAUAACCAACCUGAUGCGUGUUAUAACUCAUUUUAAGCCUCCCAUGAUCACAGUUUUUAAAAUAAGACUAAGGACUGGUCCUUUUCUAAGUGACACAAGUAAAGUAAUAGCUAGAACAGAA